CUGGCGGCGCGCCUAACACAUGCAAGUCUAACGAGCGAGAGAGAGCUUGCUUUCUCGAGCGAGUGGCGAACGGGUGAGUAACGCGUGAGGAACCUGCCUCAAAGAGGGGGACAACAGUUGGAAACGACUGCUAAUACCGCAUAAGCCCACGGUGUCGCAUGGCACAGAGGGAAAAGGAGCAAUCCGCUUUGAGAUGGCCUCGCGUCCGAUUAGCUAGUUGGUGAGGUAACGGCCCACCAAGGCGACGAUCGGUAGCCGGACUGAGAGGUUGAACGGCCACAUUGGGUCUGAGACACGGCCCAGACUCCUACGGGAGGCAGCAGUGGGGAAUAUUGCACAAUGGGGGAAACCCUGAUGCAGCGACGCCGCGUGGAGGAAGAAGGUCUUCGGAUUGUAAACUCCUGUUGUUGGGGAAGAUAAUGACGGUACCCAACAAGGAAGUGACGGCUAACUACGUGCCAGCAGCCGCGGUAAAACGUAGGUCACAAGCGUUGUCCGGAAUUACUGGGUGUAAAGGGAGCGCAGGCGGGAAGACAAGUUGGAAGUGAAAUCUAUGGGCUCAACCCAUAAACUGCUUUCAAAACUGUUUUUCUUGAGUAGUGCAGAGGUAGGCGGAAUUCCCGGUGUAGCGGUGGAAUGCGUAGAUAUCGGGAGGAACACCAGUGGCGAAGGCGGCCUACUGGGCACCAACUGACGCUGAGGCUCGAAAGUGUGGGUAGCAAACAGGAUUAGAUACCCUGGUAGUCCACACCGUAAACGAUGAUUACUAGGUGUUGGAGGAUUGACCCCUUCAGUGCCGCAGUUAACACAAUAAGUAAUCCACCUGGGGAGUACGACCGCAAGGUUGCAACUCAAA
rnacentral:rRNA from 1 species